rnacentral:rRNA from 1 species
UACGUAGGGUCCGAGCGUUGUCCGGAGUUACUGGGCGUAAAGCGCGCGCAGGCGGUCCGCGAGGUGUCACGUGAAAGCCCCGGGCUCAACUCGGGAGGGUCGUGGCAAACCGGCGGACUUGAGGCCGGUAGAGGUGGGUGGAACUCCUGGUGGAGUGGUGAAAUGCGUAGAGAUCAGGAAGAACCCCCGUGGCGAAGGCGGCCCACUGGGCCGGAACUGACGCUGAGGCGCGAAGGCGUGGGGAGCGAACGGG